UGCCCAAAGUGUUACAGGUCUUAGAAAA
rnacentral:piRNA from 1 species